GAUGAACGCUAGCUACAGGCUUAACACAUGCAAGUCGCGUGGCAGCAUGGGGGUUGCUUGCAAUCCCCGAUGGCGACCGGCGCACGGGUGAGUAACGCGUAUCCAACCUGCCCUUCACCACGGGAUAACCCGGCGAAAGUCGGACUAAUACCGUAUGUUGUCCAUUGACGGCAUCCGAUUUGGACGAAAGGUUUGGCGGUGAAGGAUGGGGGUGCGUCCGAUUAGCUGGACGGCGGGGUGACGGCCCACCGUGGCGACGAUCGGUAGGGGUUCUGAGAGGAAGGUCCCCCACACUGGAACUGAGACACGGUCCAGACUCCUACGGGAGGCAGCAGUGAGGAAUAUUGGUCAAUGGGCGUAAGCCUGAACCAGCCAAGUAGCGUGCAGGAUGACGGCCCUAUGGGUUGUAAACUGCUUUUAUGCGGGGAUAAAGUGGCCCACGUGUGGGUUUUUGCAGGUACCGCAUGAAUAAGGACCGGCUAAUUCCGUG
rnacentral:rRNA from 1 species